rnacentral:rRNA from 1 species
UAAUACGGAGGCCCCAAGCGUUGUUCGGAUUUACUGGGCGUAAAGCGUGCGUAGGCGGCAUGAUAAGUUUGGCGUGAAAUCCCCGGGCCUAACCCGGAAAUUGCGCUGGAAACUAUCAAGCUAGAGGUGUGGAGGGGAGUAUGGAAUUCCCGGUGUAGCAGUGAAAUGCGUAGAUAUCGGGAGGAACACCAGUGGCGAAGGCGAUACUCUGGACACAUUCUGACGCUGAGGUACGAAGGCUAGGGGAGCGAAGAGGAUUAGAUACCCUCGUAGUCCUAGCAGUAAACGGUGUGCACUUGCUGUAGGGCGGUUCGACCCGCUCUGUGGCGGAGCUAACGCAUUAAGUGCACCGCCUGGGGAGUACGGUCGCAAGAUUA